AAAUACUCCCUAGUGACCGAUAGUGAACCAGUACCGUGAGGGAAAGGUGAAAAGCACCCCGGAAGGGGAGUGAAAGAGAUCCUGAAACCGUGUGCCUACAAGUAGUCAGAGCCCGUUAACGGGUGAUGGCGUGCCUUUUGUAGAAUGAACCGGCGAGUUACGAUCCCGUGCAAGGUUAAGUUUGAAAAGACGGAGCCGCAGCGAAAGCGAGUCUGAAUAGGGCGAAUAAGUACGUCGCAUGACGACCCGAA
rnacentral:rRNA from 1 species